rnacentral:lncRNA from 1 species
GGACUACAUCACAAAAAGUGUAGAAAAGUAUCAUUAACAGCCUUUUGUCCUUCAUAAGAUAGUAUUGUGUAUUUGGGAAAUAUCUACCAGCUACCUUCAGCAGGAAGGCCAAGUUUCUAUAGUUCUCUAGCAUCACAUCUCUAUAUAAAUUUUUCUGAGCAGGCUGAAGGCAGUCCCACUCCUCUUCAGUAAAAUCAAUGGAUAUAUCCAUAAAUGUUAACAGUUCCAUUUCCUGGCUCUCAGGGUUCUCAGCGUUCUCCCUGUGGUUUGUUUUCAGAUUCUGCAUAGCACAGACACCUGGGCUCCGGAUCCAGAACAGAAGCCUACAAAAAGAUUUUUUAAAUGGCGGGUUCCAGACACCAAGGGAAGAGAAGUUUGUGGAAGCCCGCCCCCUCAUCACUCUUGUUUAUCCCUUUUGAUUAACUUUGACUUGAAGUCUAUUUUAUUUGAUCAAGUAUGGACACCCCUGCUUGCUUCCGGGGUCCGUAUGAGUGAUAUGAUUUUUCCCAACCCUUCACCUUCAGUCUGUGUAUGUCUUUUCCAAUCAGAUGAGUCUCCUGUAGGCAGCAUAUUGUUGGAUCUUUUUUUAAAUCCAUUCUACUAGCCUAUGUCUUUUGAUUGGUGCAUUUCAGCCAUUAACAUUUAGGGUUACUAUUGAGAUAUGGUUUGUAUUUCCAGCCAUAUUUGAUUAUGUAUGUUACUUAACAUGAUUUGUUUUUCCUCUAUGCUUAGUUUUUCCUUUACUGUACUACCUCCCGCUGUUGGUUUUUAUUGUUAUUUUUCAUUUCCUCUUCCUGUAAUGUUUUGCCAAGGAUGUUUUGAAGAGCUGGUUUUCUAGCUGCAAAUUCUUUUAACUUUUGUUUAUCGUGGAAGAUUUUUAUUUCAUCUUCAAUCCUGAAGCUUAAUUUCGCUGGAUACAUUGUUGCAGUAAUUCACGUGCAGGUCAGCAUGGGAAAAGAAAGAAGAAGCAGAGCAAGCAAAGCAGCAGCAGAAAAAAAGUCCUUUGUUGUGUACAAGCAAUCUUUUUAUAGUAUUGUGAACAAAGAAGUCAGCCUUCCAACAUCAAUAAAUCAGGUCUUUCAGCUAAUUAAACAUAACACACAGAAGUUUUACUUUCUAAUCAGAAGUGACCCGCUUCUCAUGGCUAAUCUACUCUCGGCCUGGAGUAUGCUGAGCUCUGCUCUUUGUUAAGAACAGAUAAUAAAAUUUUUCUCAGCGCCCUCCUAGCCCACUUGGCAGAACAUCCCGUUUGCAGGCAAGUCCUCCCAAGGACAGCAGACACCUCGCUUUCAAGCAUGUCCUCUGUUACCUUAUCUAAACCUUGAAGGAACCUCUCGUUUGCGAGCAGGCCCUUCCAAGGACAGCAGACAUCUCGUUUUCAAGCAUGUCCGCUGUUACCUAUCUAUAUCUCGACAGAAUAUCCUGUUUGCAGGCAAACUCCAUCAAGGACAGGAAUAGUAACGCAGUCACAUCUGAUUCUCUACAUACAUGAUUCUUGGUUGGAACCCUUUUUCUUUCAUUGUUUGAAAUAUGUUGUUCCACAAUCUUCUAGCUUUCAGAGUCUGUGUUGAAAGAUCAGCUGUUAUCCUGAUUGGUUUACCGCUAAAUAUAAUCUGCUUCCUCUCUCUUGUGGCUUUUAAGAUUCUCUCCUUAUUCUGUAUGUUGGGCAUCUUCAUUAUUAUGUGUCUUGGUGUGGAUCUCUUAUGAUUUUGUACAUUUGGUGUCCUGUAGGCUUCUAGUAUUUGGAUUUCUUUUUCAUUCUUUAAGUCUGGGAAGUUUUCUGGUAUUAUUUCAUUGAAUAGAUUGCUCAUUCCCUUGGUUUGGACCUCUAUACCCUCUUGUAUCCCAAUAACUCUUAGGUUUGGUUUCUUGAUGUUAUCCCAUAAUUCUUGGAUGUUCUGUUCAUGAUUUCUUAACAUUCUCGCUGAGCUGUCUAUGUUCUUUUCAAGUUGAAAAACUUUGUCUUUGUUGUCUAAAGUUCUAUCUUCUAAGUGUUCUACUCUGCUGGUAAUACUCUCAUUUGAGUUUUUAAUUUGGUUUAUUGUUUCCUGCAUUUCCAGGAUUUCUGUUUGUUUGUUCUUUAUAUCCUCUAUCUCCCUAUAGAGUUGAUCUUUUGCUUCUUGGAUUUGUUUAUGUAAUUUUUUGUCAAAGUGAUUUUUCAUUGUCUGAAUUUGCUGUAUAAUGUCUUCCUUGAGACUACAGAUCAUCUGAAGCAUGUAUAUCCUGAACUCUUUGUCUGACAUUCCAUCAGCUGCAGAUAUUACCUCAUCUAAUGUUGAAUUGACCUGUAUUGUUUGUGGUCCUUUCUUUCCUUGUCUUUUCAUACUGCUCAUGAUUCUUUCUAGCUUUGUGAAACUGUUGUGCUAAUGUUUUUCCCCUUAUAUAUUUGUAUUGUUCUUGUAUAGCUCCAAAAUCCCUCUUUUACAGAGAAAGACAAUGUUAACAGUUCCCCAUAUCAACAGUACAUUAUCUAAGCACAAGUUUUCAUUAUUAAUACAUUUAUAGUUAGAUUCUAAGACUAUAGAUAUUGGUUUUAAUUAUUACUUUAGAAUAUAUUCAUUAGUUUCAUAAAAGGCGUACCAUAUCUGGUGGCAUAUAGAAAACAAUUUCAGACGAAGGAUGUUAUACUUAGAGGGAAAGGAGUGAGGGUAUGAGGUUAAACUAACUUAGCACCUUUGGAGAACUCUAACCAAUAGACUGGUAAUUUAUGGAAGAAUGUAUAGACUCAACCUCCUAUCUGUAUUUAAAUAGUUACCCUAUGUAUAGAUAGCAAAAUUUAGGAGAUUGAAAGUGGGAUAGAGAGAAUAUGAAUGAAAAAAAAAAAGAAAAAAAAUAACAAGGAAGAAAAGAGAAAUAAGAGAAGGAAAAGGAAAGUAAGAUAGAAAUAAAGAAAAAAAAUGGGGGGAAGGUGGGGUAUAUGCAAUUCCUCUAUAUUAUAUUACUUUGGUAAUUUGGUUGUUCAUGCACAGUUCUUGGUUUCACGUAUGCUGAAGUUGUGGAAGAGAGAGAAGAAAAGAGAGAAAUAAAGAGAAAAAAAAAAGGUCUCUCAGAACACUGUUUUCCUUGCUUCCAGUAGGUGGCGUUGUCUAUUCCUAUCUUGAGCCUCUGUGUUCAGGGUGGUGGGUAUAGCCAGUGUGAAAGGAAAUGAGCUUCCACCUGUAUCUUCCCUACUCUAAUCUCUGAGGUAGAAACCAGGUGCCUGUACAGUUGUUGUUUUGCAUUGAUAGCUACAACCCCCAAAAGCUUGUGGGAAAUAUUUUGAGUUAUGGCAGCUAAGGGUGGGGGAGUUGGAAACCGGGUACCUGGAUCAGCCGCAGAACCGUGCUGGUAGCCACACCCCCUUUGAUGGGUUUUAAGGGUUGAUGGGUUUCCUCCGGACUAGCACACGGGGCAGGGCCGGACUUCCUCCUCCGGUCUGGCUUGGCACCGGGCCGGGACACAGUUUAGUUACCUAUUCUCCUGUAAAUGACUGUGGGUUCCACCUCACUAAUAUUCCCAUAUUUAAAGCAGAAAUUGGGUAAGCAUGACAAAAACAAAGGUAAGAUUUUCCUUGGGUGUACCUCUAGUACUGAACUUGACUGUUCACUCAUUCACCUUUUGUAGGUAUUAGAAACGUUUCUCCAAUAAUCUAGUAAUGAAGGUAAAAUCCAAAUAAAUACCUCUACCUCUGCCUUCUUUGAGAUAAAUUUAAAAUUCACUAAUUUUGGAGGUCAUGCUGCUGAGCUACAUAGUAUUUGUCUCCCAGUACUUUGAUGUGCAAAACACUUCUUAUAUGAUGCAAUGAUGAUAAGAUUUGCUGAGGAGUCUUUAAAGGAAUUUGAAGACCAUUUUGGUAAAGGCCAUGACUGUUCACUUGGUCCUGCAGAUUUGUAAUGGUUAGCUAAAAAAGCGGAAUUGAGAAGCUUGCCAUCUUGGCCUUCUUGUAGGGUCUCUCUUCUGUGAUGCUCUAAAAGCUUGGGUCAGGUUUCUGUUCAACUCUCCAGCUGAACCUAUUCGUCCUUUCUCAAGUGGCUCAUAAAAUACAAGGUUAAUUUCACCUAAAUGUGUCUAACUUAUCUCCUCCCAUGAAGGCUGAGUACAGUAAGACAAAGUGAACUAAAACAAUGUCCCAUCCAGGCCUUGGGAGUGGCCCUAGAUGUCUCCAGUCAUCAGUCCUUCCUGCCCACUCCCCACCUGCUCCUUCUUCCCCCCCCCCACUGUGUGGCUCUUCUGCACACUAGGGUCCCUGUGGUGGCUUUGCUGGUCAGAGCCUCCCACCUUCUUUGGCUUCCUAGCUGUCCAAACCAAUCUUUCUCCUUCCCCAAAGCUUGGCCUCAAAAUCUUAGUCUUUUUCAGUUUUUUCAGGGUGAAGUAAAUGAAUUCGGUUCUGUUUUCAAUUAGUGAUGACUUUCCUCUUUAAGAACUUUCUAAUGUUCUUAAUUAUUAUCUGGGCUUUGUGUAGUUUUCUUUAUUUUUUCUUUCUGGCUUUUAUGUGGGUUGUCAAGGAUAUGAGCAGAGGUUCUUUUUUACUGCUAAUUUUGGCUUCUCUUAUACCCAUUAUCUCGCUCCCAAUAUGGAGAACUAAGAGAUGGCAUCAUACAGAAUGACUUGGUUUAUGCAGUUUGCUGGCAGUGUCUCCCAUGAAAUUUCUUUUAGCUAAAAUUGAACAAGCAGUAAAAUGUUUUUCUCAGUGACAUGGAUAGGUCGGUACUUUGGACUGCCUACAACAAAGAAUGAAUUCAAGUAUGAUCAUAGUCAUAUCCUCUCUCUCUCUCUCUCUCUUUCCACUGCCCCCCCCUUUCCUCUUCCCAUCUCUGGAUUUACUUCUCCUCAAACUGAAUAAUUCACACCACAGUGUUCAGAAAAACAACAAACAUUAUCCCAAGCAACUCAAAUUCUGACCCUUUCAACAGAGAGAUAUUAUUCAUAAACCUAUAAAACUAAAGUUAAAAACAGAUAAAAACAAUAAAAAUUAUCAUAAAUAAAGUUGAACUUCAAAGAAGUGCCAGCAACAUUACAAUCUUCCAAUUCAAGAAGGCAUAUAAACACAGUGGUGGAAGAGAAGAAAAACAAUGUUGAAAUGAUAAAGACUCUCUCUGAAAAUGAUUUUUUAAACAACAGACAAAGAUUUACAGACUCAGAAAAAAUUGCCAUUUCAAGGAAAGGAUCCGAUAUUUUUAAUCAAGAGAACAUUCAUAAAAUAUGAUGAGUAUUGGGCUGGGGAGGUAGCCCAGUUGGUAGAGUACUUGCCUUGCAUGUAUAAGGCCCUGGGUUCAAUCCCCAGUACCACCAAAAAAAAAAAAUCUUAACAUAAAGUAUGAUGAGUAUUAAGCUGACAUAUCUAUAGGGCAAACCAGUAAGUGGAAACAUUAACUCUGAAUAGCCAAUGUUGAUUCAUAUCCAUGUAAACUAUGUAGCUAGAAGCACCCUGGUAACUUCAAGCUUCCACAAAGGACAAAGUAAUUAAAAAUCCUUACUUCUAACUUCUAACUAAUUCAAGAUAUAUGAUGCAUUAUUGUUAACAUAGUGGCACACUGUGCCAUGGAACACCAGGACAUAUUCCUCCAAUCUACCUAUAAAACUGUUUCCAUUGAACAAAUUCCCUCCUUGUCUCCUCCGGACCCUCCCUGGUCUCUGGUCAGCACUAUUCUGCUGUUCUGAUGUAAUCUUUCCUAUAUUCCACACAAGUGUAGUAUUGCUGUUCCUGUGGCUGGCUUCCUUCACUGAUAAUGUCAUGCAGGUCCAUCUAUGUGGCUGUAAGUAAUAGGACUGCAUUUUUUAGACUGAACAGAUUCCAUUGCUUCUAUGUAUCACACUCUUAUUAGCCAUACGUCAGUUAACAAAUAUUUAGCUACCAGAGAAUUUCUUCAUAUUGACCUGAUAUGUCACAAUACUCACAUUCAGUGGCAGUAAAGAAUGAGGGAGCCUGGCACAGUGGUACAUGCCUAUAAUCACAGCAGCUCAGGAGGCUGAGGCAGGAGCCUCAAGAGGAGGAUCAUGAGUUCAAAGCCAGCUUCAGCAAAAGUGAGGUGCUAAGCAACUCAGUGAGACCCUGUCUCUAAAUAAAAUACAAAAUAGGGCUGGGGACGUGGCUCAGUGCUCAAGUUCCCCUGAGUUCAAUUUCCAGUACCCAAAACAAAACAAAACAAAACAAAAAAGAGUGCAGGAAAUUCUAUAGAAAUAUUCCUGUAAGUAUGUGUCCCAAUAAUUAUAUAUAGCCAGCUGAACUUCACAUUGACUAUAAUUUUGUAUGCACAAUGAAGAAGAUCUUGGUCACUGUUCUCACCUGCUAUUCUGCAGGAAUCCACUAGGCAUCAGCACUGUUCCCUCUCCAUAUAUAUAAUACAGUUUUGGACACCAAGGACACCAUGGACACCAAGGCCCAUGAACUUGGAGAGUGUUGAACUAGUGAACUUAGUAAAUGCUGUCCACACAGGAAAAAUGGCAGGGUGACUUUACUUGUGCAAGAAUCAGAUGACAUAAAUUUGGAUUUGCACCUCAUAUUUUAUCAGUGGUAAGAACUUAGAAAGUUUGCUUAACAUUUUAGGGCACAUACUUUCUCCAUUAAUAAAUUGGAUUCAUAACUUUGUAUGCCAUCUGGAGUGGGAGGUUUGUUUUAUAAUAGAAUAAUAACUUUAAAUGGUCAUUUAAUUAUUAUUAGUAGUAGUACUAGAAGCAAGAAUAGCAGUAGCAAUUUUGCUUAAAUAAAACACUUCCUUAGCACUUACCCUGUGCUAAGUAUUGCUUGCCACAUAAUAUUAUGUAUAGUAAAGCAAAUUUAUGUGUAGAGUGCAAUUGUUAACUGCAUUUUCAUGAAAGGAAAAUGGUGCAGAAAGCAGUAUGCACCACACAGUGAAUGUAAAAGCCUGCAGUUGAAUCUAGAGACUGACAACAGAGACAGCAUUUAUAAAAUUACUAAUUACUUAAGAUGAUAAUUUUACUCAGUGGAAGAAAUGACAAUCAAAUUCUAUUUUAUUCAAACACAGGUGGCUAACUGGACAUUUCAGGCAUCAUUUCCAGCAAGGCCUAAAUGUGGCUCUUGGGUUUCAGAACCAGAAGUACUAAUUGGAAGUACUCACCGGGGAAAACACACAGUCAUGAAGAUUAGCAAUAGAAAAGAGUUUGGAAAUCAUUCUCACCUACUCUCUAGCAGGUGUGAACAUCAGAUAUUACUUUUCAGGAUCACAAAGCAGGUCAUGGACACUAGACUCAUGAACAACAACAAUCAUUCUUCUCCAUAGCUCAGAAGCUGCCCUGUUUGGGCCUGAAUGCUCUCUCCACAUUAAGGCACAAAUUCAUCAUACAAAAUCUAUGAAGAAGGCCUGGUCUGUUAAUUCAACCAAUGGUGGUUGAUCAUGUGCUCAUUUUCAAGCAAUGUUUAUCUUAGUGGGGUAAAUUGUUAAAGCGAAGUUUCCACCAUCUUAGAGUAUGGAAUGUAGCUGAAGAGAAAGAUAAUAAAUCCACACAUUCACAGAAAUGAAUGUAAGUGUAGGUAAGGAUGCAAAUGUAUGAAAUCAGGCAGAGAUACCCACUGUGGAAUAUUAAGUCAUGGUAAGGGAAAGAUGGAGGUAUCCCAGUCGCCAUCUUAGAGAAUGAGUAAGAAGGCCUCUCUCAAGCCAGUGAAAUAGAUUUUCUAAGAUAUGAGAAAUGGAGGAAUGGAGAAAGAAUUACCUGCCAUCUUUCAGGAAUACUUUUGGCAGACAGAGCCAAAAUGUAAAUGACCUGAAUUCAAAUUGUGUUUAGCUGUUUGAGGAAUGGCAGGAAGGCUGCCUGGUUUGCAUGGCUGUGACUUCUACUCAGUUCUAGAGGUAUAUUGAGAGGAUGGCCCAAUCAAAAACUCUGAUAUGCAGAGUUUCAGGAAGAUUUGUGUGUCAGAUGCACAGUUGUUCAACCCUCUAAGUCAAUCAGUCCUCAUCGAAGCAUUGUGGUUCAGGCCUGUGUCUUAGCUACUAUAUGACUGAGGCAGGUGGAUUGCAUGUAAAACAUUACUCUGGGCAACUUAGUAAGACUCUGUCUCAAAAUACAGAAUACUAAGUGCUGCAGAUGUGAGUCAGGGGGAGAGCUCUUGCCUACUUCACAUGAGACACAAAUCAAACAGAAUAAAUAUCAAAACAAAAAUCAAGACAAAUCCAUGAAAGCUGAAUACAUGCUUUCUUCUGGUGCUGUGCUCCUAUGAAAUACGGGUAUUAAACAACCCCUGUCACAGGUACAGAUUGAAUCAUUCAACUAACGUACUCAUAAUAUGGGGGAAAAUUCAGGAUUUGAACCUUAGUCUACCUGAUAAUAAUAUUAGAUAUUCUACAUUGUAUUUACAGCUGCAUUGCAAAGCAUUCUAAAAUGCAAACUGGCAAAAAUAUCUUCACUUUUGUAAAAGGUGAAAACUGAUCCACUGCACCUUCUCAUCUCUAUCAGAAUCAAUGGCAAUUUUCAUUUCCUGAGAUUGGUGGUUCCAUAUGAAAGAUACGAAACCCAAGCACAGCUCUGCCAUUUAGUAGGGUUAUGACUUUCAGUAAAAUUGCUUCCUUUUUACAUUAAUGUGUUAUUGGUGCAUUAGGAUGACACAGAAUAGUUGGGCUCAUGGUGAUAUGUCCACACAUGCACACAGCAUAAUUAGGUCUGUUUCAUUGCUGCACACACACUUUCCCCUUCCCUCCUUUCCUCCCUUUUCUAAUUAAUUUCCAAGACUCUACUGUCUCUUCUAUUAUUUAUUUAUUAUCUUUAUUCUUUCCAGCUUCUGCAUAUGAGAUAAAUAUAUGACCAUUAAUGUUUUGAAUCUUACUUAUCUCACUUAAAAAGAUGUUUUCCAUUUUCAUUCAUUUUCCUGCAAAUGAGAUAAUUUUGUUCUUCUUUAUGGUUGAAUAAAUCUUCCUGGUGUAUAUAUACCACAUUUUUUAUCCAUUCAUCAAUUGACCGGUUGAUUCUCUGAACUUGGUUAUUAGGAAUCUCACUGGUAUAAACAUGGGUGUGCAUGUAUUGCUAUAUAGUAUGUUGACUGGAAUUCUUUUGAAUAAAUACCAAGCUAUGAUAAAGCUGGGUCAUGUGGUGACUUCAUUCCUAGUCUUUUGAAAAAUCUCUAUUUCUAUCUCCAUAGUGGUUGUGCUGAUUUAUAAUUCUACCAACAGUGCACAGGUGCCCCUUUCUCCUGUACCCUCCCCAGAAUGUAUUAUUAUUCUUCAUACUUGACAUUCUAACUGGAUUGAGAUGAAAUCUAAUAGUCGUUUUGAUUUGCAUUUCCCUGAUUGCUAAGUAUAUUGAACAUUGUUUUAUAUACUUUUUGGCUA